AACUAAAGAAGCCUUUCGACGUACAUAUUCAAUAUUUGACCGUUCAUCUUAUUUGAAAAUUUUGUAUGAUUAGUAUUUUUAUUGUUAUUAGAUGAUAAAUUAUGAAUAGUACUUUUAUGUCUGACUAUGUUUUUUAAAUUUUUUCAAAUAAUACGGAUGGUCAAACGUUGGACACAAAUACUCACGGCUACACUUAUU
rfam:Oryza meridionalis cultivar OR44 (W2112) chromosome 5, whole genome shotgun sequence.